rnacentral:snRNA from 1 species
GGAUAUGAGGGCAAUCUGCCUCCCCACUGAUCACUAGGUUUGGCUAGGCUGAUGUGGCAGUUAGGUGGGUGUUCCCAUCCCUCUUCACCACUCCAUGUGUGUCCCUCCCAAAGCUAUGUUCUAGGUCAAAGAGGAUGACCUUCUCCAAAUAGAGAUAUACUGGUCUUUAGUUGAGGGUAUACAAGUAGCAGCAUUCUCAUGUUAAAACCUCCAAACAAGCUCUCUAGAAUGUUAUCCCUAAAGGAUGAGAAGAUAAAAAAUAAUUAAGCUGAAUCUAACUUUUGGAUCUAAUUUGUAGGUUAAAAGAAAU